GUAGCAGUGUAGAUUGUGUGUGUGUGUGUGUGUGUGAUCCACAAUAUUUGUUGUAAUGAAUCUCAGUGGCCUGCUUCACAGAAGAUCCUGGCAGCUUUUGCCACCAAGGGCUUACAGUUGUUUGUCUUUGCAGACUCCAGCUGCCUGAGCUGCCACACCACUCACCCUGCCAGAGCUGCCCCCACUUCUGCAUGUGUGCCCACCGCCAACCCCUGCAGCUGCAUGUGUGCAUGAUGCCAGCCCCAGCCUCCAAAGCUUCGCAUGCACAUGCAUCUGGCCCGCACAGCCACGCAUGCACUGCACUUGGACCAACCCUUGCCACUGGCAGCAGCCCUCACCAUCAUGUAUUUGCCUGCAGCCAGCCC
rnacentral:lncRNA from 1 species